AUCGGUACCUCGGACUUAGAUAUUCUGCUACGGUUUGGUCGUCUGUGGGGUGUGCACACUAGGGAUCUUUGUUUAAUAGUUAUCCGGAAAGCCUAGCUAGCCCGAUGGAAAAGAAAGUCCGUUCCAUUCCAUGGAUUGAUGAUUUCAAAAUUUUAAAAGAAAAUGUUUUAGCAAAGAAAAUAGAAAAGAAGGUUCUAUCCAUUCCAUAGAUUGAUGUUUUAUAUAGUUUAAAAGAAAAUGUUUUAGCAAAGAAAAUGAAAAAUGUAUUUGAUUUAACAAAACAUAAAAAGAAAGCGAAAGUUUUAUAAUGUAUUUAUAUAGUAUUGUGUUUGCAAAAGUAAAUGUUUCAUAGGAAAUGAUUGAUGAAUCCUACUGGCAUAUGUAAUUGGAUGUGUAGUAUGGAAUUUAGCUAAACGCCGAUAUAUAUAGGUAAUGGAGGUUAGAGUCAAGGUAAAAAGCAAUGUCCACUCAUUUUAGUUAUAACGACAUUGAGGCCCGGUAACUAGUUUUAGUUUAGUAAUUAGUAUUGUAUUAGUAGAACUGGUAAUUGAUAAUGCCCAUUGAGGCCUCUAUUUUUCUGUGGUUAUUUUGUAAUGAAAGGAAGAGUUAAGCUUAAGCUCCUUUCUAUUUGAUUGCAAGUUUUAACAUGUAGAUGCAAGUUUCAGAAGAGCUAAUUUAAGUUGAUAGAUAAAUAGAUCGAGUAUCUUUGUUUGCCUAAAGUUCAUCAUUAUAAGGAUUUAGAAAUGGACUAUCUUUGUUUGCCUAAAGUUCAUCAUGUAAAUAGCUCAUCUUCAUUGUAGCCUCCUUCGUUCAUAAAAUCUUUAUCAUUGGAACUUUGGAUGACUGGUCGAACGUUCUCCUAUUUAAUUUCAAUGGUGUUGUGCUUAUCCAAAACUAUAUUAAUCCUGUUGGGCGUGAAGCUUGGGCUAGACAGGAGUACAUUGCAAGAUCAAGCACAUAUAGCCAAGAUGAAAUAGAUGAGGUUCGUGAGCAAUGGGUUAAGUUCUUUAGAUCGAACUUUUUGAUAAACUAAAUGUAAUUUUGUACAAGCAAUACUAGUACUACUAUUCGAUCGUAUGUGAUUAUAUAUGUAAGUGUAGUAGUGGACGUUAGGUAAAAGAAUAUUUUCUAAUUAAUGUACGUAUUAUUCAAUCGUAUAUUAUAUAUUCGACCUCUAUAGAUAUAUAUAUAA